UACAGAGGAGCCAAGCGUUGUCCGGAUUGACUGGGCGUAAAGCGCACGCAGGCGGAUGCGCGCGUGGGGUGUGAAAUCUGGCCGCUUAACGGCCAGGCGCCAUCCCAUACGGCGCGUCUGGAGUGAUGCAGAGGUCGGUGGAAUUGCCGGUGUAGUGGUGAAAUGCGUAGAGAUCCGGAGGAACACCAGUGGCGAAGGCGGCUCGCUGGACCUGACCUGACGCUGAGGCGCGAAGGCGUGGGAGCGAACGGG
rnacentral:rRNA from 1 species